rnacentral:rRNA from 1 species
UUGUUAGUGUUUUAUUAGUAGGUAUUGCAUAUCGUUUAAAGAAAAUUUUAUAGUUAAUAAAUAAUAAAAUUAAAAGGUAGAAAAAUUUUAUUAUUUUUAUUGUUUCAUAAUAAAAAUUAUAAUUUUUAGGGUUGAAAUGUCGACUUUUAAAAUAUUUGUGUAUUAAGAAAAAUUAGAAAUUUAUUAUUUUUGUUAGUAUGGCUGUUAUAAAUAGUAAAAGUUGAAGUAUUUAUUUUUUUAGUUUUAUAACUGUUUAUGUAAAAUAAUUUUAGUUAAAUCUUGUGUCAGCGUAAUAAAUUUUUAUUAUGUUUAUUAUUUUAAAAUUAGUAGAAGGUAAUAAAAUUUAUUUUUAUUCAUUUAAUAUAAUUAAAAAACUAAAAAAUUAAUCAAAUGUUUUUUAAAGACUUAGAUUUUCAAGUAAAGUUUGCUUCUGCCCAGUGAUAAAAUUAAAUGGCAGUCUUAGCGUGAGGACAUUAAGGUAGCAAAAUAAUUUGUGCUUUUAUUGAGUUCCAGUAUGAAUGAAGUUAUUGGUUAAUUUAUUUUUUGGUUUUUGUUUUGAACUUUUUAUUAAUAUAAAAAAGUAUUAAUGUAGUAAAACAAAGAUAAGUCUUCGGAAAUUUUCUUAAAGGGUAUAAUGUUGGGUUGUACUUUUAAGGUUUUCUAGGGCAGAAUUUUAUAUAAUUAAUUAUAACUAUUAAUAAGUUAAAAAAUUACUCCGGAGUUAACAGAAAAUCAUACCUAAUCUAGCUCUUAUAGUAAGGUAAGUUUUACAUCGAUGUUGUAUUUAAGUUUAUUAAAAAAGGAGAAAUUUUAAUUUUUAAGACUGUUCUUCUUUUAAUUAAUUUAACGUGAUAUUAGUUUAAUUCAUUGCGAGAUAGAAUUGUUUAUCUUGUUUAUUAUUAAUUUGUGAUUUUAAUAGUACGAAAGGAAAAUUAAAAAAGGUUUUAAACUUUUAGAGAUUGUGUUCUCA